GAUGAACGCUGACAGAAUGCUUAACACAUGCAAGUCAACUUGAAUUUGGGUUUUUAACUUAGGUUUGGGUGGCGGACGGGUGAGUAACGCGUAAAGAACUUGCCUCACAGCUAGGGACAACAUUUGGAAACGAAUGCUAAUACCUAAUAUUAUGAUAAUAGGGCAUCCUAUAAUUAUGAAAGCUAUAAGCGCUGUGAGAGAGCUUUGCGUCCCAUUAGCUAGUUGGAGAGGUAACGGCUCACCAAGGCGAUGAUGGGUAGCCGGCCUGAGAGGGUGAUCGGCCACAAGGGGACUGAGACACGGCCCUUACUCCUACGGGAGGCAGCAGUGGGGAAUAUUGGACAAUGGACCAAGAGUCUGAUCCAGCAAUUCUGUGUGCACGAUGAAGUUUUUCGGAAUGUAAAGUGCUUUCAGUUGGGAAGAAAGAAAUGACGGUGCCAACAGAAGAAGUGACGGCUAAAUACGUGCCAGCAGCCGCGGUAAUACGUAUGUCACGAGCGUUAUCCGGAUUUAUUGGGCGUAAAGCGCGUCUAGGUGGUUAUGUAAGUCUGAUGUGAAAAUGCAGGGCUCAACUCUGUAUUGCGUUGGAAACUGUAUAACUAGAGUACUGGAGAGGUAAGCGGAACUACAAGUGUAGAGGUGAAAUUCGUAGAUAUUUGUAGGAAUGCCGAUGGGGAAGCCAGCUUACUGGACAGAUACUGACGCUGAAGCGCGAAAGCGUGGGUAGCAAACAGG
rnacentral:rRNA from 1 species